CGGCGGUCUGAGGAGGUGGUGGCACUCCGUGGAGGUGGCGCCACUCUGGUCGGGGUCGGGGAGGCGCUGCACCCAGACCGCUCCAGACGCAGAGCGCUGGACAGAAGAAUGACGCAGAUGGAGCACUAGAGGGGCUCUUGGGACUCAUCAGACACGUGCCAGCAAAUGCACUCAUUGGUCGGCUGCCUACCACCCAUCCAACACAUCCCCGAACGAGGCUGACAAAUGGCCCCGCUGCGCUCGUGUGCCCAGGACCGGGCGGCGGCGGAGCCAGCGCCGACCAGAGACAGACACUCAGACGGCAGUGCUCCCCCCAAACACCGCGCAUCGCGCAGAGGAUUCCGCGGAAUUCUGCCAAGACGUGGCGCCCGCGUCUCGUCGCGGGGGUGCCGGUGCGCGACGCGCCACAGCCGCCGUCGACAGCCGCCGGCGCAAAGGUCACCGCUAGGUGGCCGCUGGCGCGCGCCACGCGACAGGAAACCGCCGAAACCGGAGUCGACGCAAACAAAAACGCGCGUCGGACGGGUGACGGAUGACGGGUGCGUGACGUCACGUGACGCCCGACCGUCAUCGUUAGCCGGUGACGAUGCGGCGGGUGAGACGGUGUAUGCUUGCGCACGCCGUUGGGGCAUGGUGGCACGUGCCAAGGGAAACAGCGACGCGCGGCCUCCAUGGAGUGCUGCUCUCCGAGCGCCGCUAGCCAGCCAUCACCCUGAGGGACAGGGUGCGUAAUGUCAGUUUUCUGGUUUGUAGAGCUGGCAGAAAGGAACUGGUUGGCACUGUGUGGGCUGGACCUGUCGACAAACUCCCUGUUCACUAUCCGUUAUCAUGAAUAUUUCAGAUAGCUCCUAGAUGGUGUAUUUGAUUCGAUUAAAUGUCAAGAUUAGGGCAUGAUCCUGUCCAACAAUACAACUGGCAUGCGUU